rnacentral:snoRNA from 1 species
ACCCCAUGGUGAGGGCAUUUCUAUAAUAAUUCCUUGAAUCGCUCUCAAGCCUCAUUGAUGCCUCCCUCACCGCCCUCGCAAAUGAUGAGAGAGAAAUCAACACUAAGAAC